UACGUAGGGGGCAAGCGUUGUCCGGAUUUAUUGGGCGUAAAGCGCACGCAGGCGGUCUCUUAAGUUUCGAGUGACAGGUCAGGGCUUAACCCUGGCAGGCCUUGGAAAACUGGGGGACUUGAGGGCUUCAGAGGGACGCGGAAUUCCAGGUGGAGCGGUGAAAUGCGUAGAGAUCUAUCGGAACGCCGAUGGUGAAGACAGCCAGCUGGGGCUUUCCUGACGCUGAGGAGCGAAAGCGUGGGGAGCGAACAGG
rnacentral:rRNA from 1 species